rnacentral:rRNA from 1 species
UCAGUCGUAAGCUUUAACUUCACUUCCUUCUCGCCAGGGAACUACGAGCUAAGCUUAAAACCCAAAGGACUUGACGGUACCCCAUAUCCCCCUAGAGGAGCCUGUCCUAUAAUCGAUAACCCCCGUUUAACCUCACCAUUUUUAGUUAUUCAGCCUGUAUACCUCCGUCGUCAGCUUACCACGUGAGCGUUAGUGAGCCAAAUGUUUUUUCAACCACACGUCAGGUCAAGGUGCAACAAAUGAAAUGGGAAGAGAUGGGCUACAUUUUCUAUAUUAGACUACACGAAAGACUUUAUGAAACCUAGUCAGAAGGCGGAUUUAGAAGUUAUAAUGGAACUAGAGAUCCACGG